AUGAACGCUAGCUACAGGCUUAACACAUGCAAGUCGAGGGGCAGCAUGGUCUUAGCUUGCUAAGGCCGAUGGCGACCGGCGCACGGGUGAGUAACACGUAUCCAACCUGCCGUCUACUCUUGGACAGCCUUCUGAAAAGGAAGAUUAAUACAAGAUGGCAUCAUGAGUCCGCAUGUUCACAUGAUUAAAGGUAUUUCGGUUAUCGAUGGGGAUGCGUUCCAUUAGUUUGUUGGCGGGGUAACGGCCCACCAAGACUACGAUGGAUAGGGGUUCUGAGAGGAAGGUCCCCCACAUUGGAACUGAGACACGGUCCAAACUCCUACGGGAGGCAGCAGUGAGGAAUAUUGGUCAAUGGACGAGAGUCUGAACCAGCCAAGUAGCGUGAAGGAUGACUGCCCUAUGGGUUGUAAACUUCUUUUAUAUGGGAAUAAAGUAUUCCACGUGUGGGAUUUUGUAUGUACCAUAUGAAUAAGGAUAGGCUAACUCCGUG
rnacentral:rRNA from 1 species